rnacentral:rRNA from 1 species
CCAAUAGCGUAUAUUAAAGUUGUUGCAGUUAAAAAGCUCGUAGUUGAAUUUCGGGAUCAUCAGGUUGGUCGUGCCUCCGGUAUGUACUUGCUUCGGUGGUCCCUCCUUCUUGAAGAACCAUAAUGCCAUUAAUUUGGUGUUGCGGGGAAACAGGACUGUUACUUUGAAAAAAUUAGAGUGUUUAAAGCAGGCAAUCGCUUGAAUACAUUAGCAUGGAAUAAUGAAAUAGGACGUUCGAUCCUAUUUUGUUGGUUUCUAGGAUUGACGUAAUGAUUAAUAGGGAUAGUUGGGGGCAUUAGUAUUCAAUUGUCAGAGGUGAAAUUCUUGGAUUUAUUGAAGACUAACUACUGCGAAAGCAUUUGCCAAGGAUGUUUUCAUUAAUCAAGAACGAAAGUUAGGGGAUCGAAGACGAUCAGAUACCGUCGUAGUCUUAACCAUAAACUAUGCCGACUAGGGAUCGGAUGAUGUUAAUUUUUUAAUGACUCAUUCGGCGCCUUACG